rnacentral:rRNA from 1 species
UACGUAGGUGGCAAGCGUUGUCCGGAUUUACUGGGCGUAAAGAGCGCGCAGGCGGUUGGAUAAGUCGAAUGUGAAAGCCCCCGGCUCAACUGGGGAGGGUCAUUCGAUACUGUCCGACUCGAAGGCAGGAGAGGGAAGCGGAAUUCCCGGUGUAGUGGUGAAAUGCGUAGAUAUCGGGAGGAACACCAGUGGCGAAGGCGACUUCCUGGCCUGUUCUUGACGCUGAGGCGACG